rnacentral:lncRNA from 1 species
ACAGAUUCACGUCGGCUUCCCCCUAACUCAGAAUCAACAACUUUACAUUUUCCCUUAUCAGUCACAGGAACGCCUACUGGUUCGGAAUUUGUGUCGGGUACUGACAGGUAGGGAGCUUCAUCGACUGACGCGGCAUUAAUAUUUUUGACUUUUCCACUAUCUAAUUCUAUAUUUUCAGUUGUGUUUUCAACACGACUACUGCUAGGGUUACGACUAAGUGGAGACUGAGAAUCAGAAAAUAAGGAAAAACUAGGCCCAGACAUGGCUGAGGCAACAGAUUCAGCAGCUACUUCUUUUGAAGAAUGAUAUUGUCCAAAGCCCACCAUAUACGUGCACAACUCUUUCGACCCAUAGAGAAAACAACAACCAUGGACAUCGAUUCAUUGAGGCAACGGAUUCAGCAGCUACUUCUUUUGAAGAACGAUAUUGUCCAAAGCCCCACCAUCUACGCGCACAACUCUUCGGACCCAUAGAGAAAACAGCAAACCAUAGACAUUGAUUCACAAAAGUGCAAAGGAAAACAUAAAAAUCCUAUGAUUUUGAAAACACACUUUCACUAAAAU